CAGUCGGUAAGCGCUGUGUUCAGUACGCCGUGCUAGGCAGUGACGACGGUUGAGGAAACAGGAUCACUCCAGCGUAAAGAAUCCGGAGAUACUUUCUGUUACCAUGAUGAACACUAACAACGCCCCACCUGCCUACGUGGCUGCGCCUCAGCCUGUCGGCCAGCAACAACUGGUGACGGUGCAACCAGCUCCUGUUACUGUCGGCACGGUCAACCCACAGCCUCGAGAUGGUGACUGGAAGGGUAUUCUAUGGACAGGAAUAAGUCAAAUGGUUUUGGGUUCCUUGACCGUCAUUCUUGGGAUUGUCACCCUGACAGUAUUUAGCAGUGUAGAACGCAGUGAUUUUGCAUCCCCAAUUUGGUGUGGUAUCUUAGUAAGUGAUUUGAACAUUAUUCGCCAUAAUUUCAUGCUACUUGUUUAUUGACAGUGCUGAUUUAUUUUCCUUGGGCUGUUCGUUGGGUUGCUUGUUUGCUUGUUUAUUUGUUUCUUUUGUUGGUUCUACUGCCUCAUGAUCGUUGUUAACUUGUUCAGCAUCAAAACUGUUGUUUCAUUAGGUCGUUAAGCUCAGUGCAGUCGUUUAUGAAGCGGGUUUGUGUAGAGAAAG